rnacentral:rRNA from 1 species
CGGGAAGCCUCCCUCGAGAUAAGAUUUCACAGAGCCGUGGAAGACCACCACGUUGAUAGAUCGGAUGUAGAAGUGCGGUAACGCAUGGAGCUAACCGAUACUAAUUGCUCUAUUCGCGCUUGA